rnacentral:rRNA from 1 species
UACGUAGGGAGCAAGCGUUGUCCGGAAUCAUUGGGCGUAAAGCGCGCGUAGGCGGCCCCGUAAGUCCGCUGUGAAAGUCCAGGGCUCAACCCUGGGAUGCCGGUGGAUACUGUCGGGCUCGAGUCCGGAAGAGGAGUGUGGAAUUCCUGGUGUAGCGGUGAAAUGCGCAGAUAUCAGGAGGAACACCAAUGGCGAAGGCAGCACUCUGGGACGUGACUGACGCUGAGACGCGAAAGCGUGGGGAGCAAACAGG